GUGUGCGAUCAUACCAGUACUAAUGUACCGGAUCCCACCAGAACUCCAAAGUUAAGCAUGCUUGGGCUAGAGUUGUACUCGGAUGGGUGACCUCCUGGGAAGUCCUCGUGCUGCACCCC
rfam:Gossypium arboreum cultivar AKA8401 contig_70488_1, whole genome shotgun sequence.